ensembl:lncRNA
AUCUCUAUUUGGAAAUCCUUCCUCUUGGAGCCCUUCUACAAGCCCAGGACUCGGCUCUGCUCUGAACCAUCUCUUUCAUCAGUGCUCUGAAUGCUGGAUGGAACAUUCAGCAAGUCCAAUACAAGAAAACCCCUGGGGAUUUUCUCAUCUGACAUGAAAGAUGAGGCAGAGGAACCUACAGCAGGCAAGGCAAGCUUCAGCCUAAAAAAUGCAGUGCGAAAGUGAGAAGCAAGAUUUUUCUAAGUACUCCGUCCCCAUGGGUAUCUCUGUGAUUGAAAGAAGACUUCAGUGAACUGAAGAGGCAUGACUCUGCUUCAGUGACAGAAUCUUUAGGUCUGCAAUAUUUCACAUGAUGUGGAUCCAGAGAAAACAAUCCAUUUCUUUGGAGCACCUCUGAAUUUCUUGUCUGCAUUGGGAAUCAUUGGCAAGCUAAAUCUUCGAUUAAAAAGUCUGAUGCCUGAAGCCCCAGCCUGGCACUAGCUAGAAAAGAGAUGUUUGGUCUCAUCCCAGAUCUAACGUCUAGUAGACAUCUAAAUUUUAAACGAGAAGAAUCACCUUCUGAAAAUAUUGCUCUGUUAACUGCUCUAGUCUUUGAAAAUGGAGACACAUGGGCGCAUCUGCAGGCUAUUUUAUACCAUUGUCUCUCAUAACAGAAACGUCUUCAGAUGACCAAGAGUAAAUCUUAUCCUUCACAUUUCAGUAGGUGAAGUCUGAUGGGAUGAAUUUCAACCAACAACUGAAAUACUUCCAAAUUUUUCCUGAAAAAAGAACAGUAAUUUAAGAAAUGGCUAGGAAGGCUUAAGUCCGUGAUAAAGUCACAUUAGGCUCCAAGGCUUCAAUAGCUAGCAUUCUUGCCAGUCCAGAUAUGAGGAAAAAUACAAAGCUACAAAAAAUAUUUAUAAAUAACUUUCAAAAAUACUCUCAUACAUGCAGGAGUACUGCUUGGGGAAGAUACCUUUCAACAAGACAAAACUAUUGACUGUUAAAGAGCAGCACAAUAAAAGCAAUUCAUGUGAAAUAUUAAUAGGGGAACUAAUUAGAGAUGAGAUGGAGUGAGCUGUAAUUAUAACUAUGUCAAACUCAAAACAGGAAGAAAAAUGUCCCUUCCCCCCAACCAGGAAAAAUACUCAUGUUCACCUGCAUGAUGAUAGCUAUAAUUUUCAAGCGAUAGUAUCAGUAAGCAAAGGAAUACUUGAAUAGCAUUGAAUUAAAAAUGAAUACUCGGAAUUUUCAGAAAGAUAUAAAGGAUAAGGGGAGGGAAGGAAGGAGAAAAGGAAAGCAAAGAAUAGGUUGGCUUUGACUCUGAAAAUUACGUAAUUUUCUAUUUUUAGUGGAGGUUAAAACAGUGUAGGGACUGAUAAUACAUAAUUGAUUAUAAAUCAGUUUUCAAUCCAGAUGCGAUACCAGGUUUUGGCAAAGCUUGCUUGGAUAUCUGAGAGGUUCUUUUUCAGACAUGAUUUUAUCAAUUGUGGAUGUACCAGUAAGUUUCACUCUGAAAGUCUAAAACCAGGCAUAGUAGUGUUGAUUCUUCAUGAAGUAAAUAUUCAGAAGGUAAAUGACUGGAUAUAUGAUACAGUAUGAUUUCAUCUGUCUUUAAAAGUUUGCUAGAUUCUAUUUAGUAAUCAAAUUGAACCUGGGUUGGAAAAAUAAGAUGUAUUUACAUAGGCCUGUCCAAACAUAAUGCCUUCUAUUUAUUUCCAUUGAAACUACAAUAGGUACAAAGAGCACUAUAACAGUAUUUGAUAGAGGAAAUUCUCAGCUACAGAACAAAAUUUUUCAGUGCCUUUGCCACCAUGAGCCAAUUCAUGUGGGGGAACUGAUCGAGACGCUCUUCAUGGUGUGACAGCUGUGCAUGGCUGUCCGGAUCAUGGUCUUUGAUGCCACUGUCACCACUACUGGAAUGCACCAACCACCCCCUUACUGUGCUGACAUCAACAGUUUGGUCUCCAUAAAUGUUCACCAAGCAUUGAUGAGUGUCAAUGGGUGCUAUUUUUUCUACACAGAGGGAUUCAGUGAGGCACCUUUGUUUCAUGCGCACUUCAAUGUCAGCCAGCAUUUUGUCAGACCACCCCUCUGCUGCCAUCUGUCACACAGAAACAAUAUGUGUUGUAAUACUGGGGGAAAAGGUUGAUUUCUACUGCCAUCCCACCAACAUCCUCCUCUGAUGUCAUAGGCCAACAUAAUAAAAUAGGAGGCAUUACUUUCGGAGCAUCCCUUGUAUUAUAGGCAUAAUCCUAUGAACUACAGAACAUCCAAGCUCUGUUCUACGUAAGCAGCAAACAGUUUAUUUUGAGACUGGAUUUAGUUCUUGAAUAUUCAUAAGCAUCAUCCCUGUGGGGGCUGACAGCAGUGUCUGCCAAAGUCACAUCCAAAGGUAUGUGUGCAGUGGUGUGGAAAGUCCUUAUGCAGUGUCCUGUGGGUUUGGAUCCAUUUGAAUGAAACUUCAGGGUAUAGUCAAGAAGGAAAGCCAGCUUAUCCAGCCACUUAGCAGCAUUGAUUGAAUUCUUGGUGUAGGCACUAUUUGAACUGAGAUUUGCCAAAUACAGAUUGUAUGUCAACUACUAAUGCCAGAAAUGUGUUUACAAUAACACAGUGAUGCAAUCAAAACCAAGAAUGGAAGUUUUACCUUAAGAUUGAUUUGAAAAGACUUUUAGAAAACCGUGUUUAUUGCUGUACAUAUCCUAAGGAUACAUAACCCUUAACCUCAGUCCUACUAGAGAAGCCACACACUAACAAGCUGGAGGAACUCCACCUGGCCUCAGCAUUAGGAACUUCAUGGGAAAAUAAAAGCGGGAUGAUGUUACUCUUGUUUGAUGUACCAGUGUGAAACACUCAGAGGAGGCAUGCUCAAGCAGCUGAAUUAGCAGUGGAAAAACUCAGCGUGCUUGCAUUACUCUCAGCUGUACUAGUAUGCUAUUACUACAUGGCGUACAAUAAGAUCCAGCUGUCCUCAGUGCCUGAAUGUGGGCCAGUUCAUAAAUUAUUGUACAAAUGGCUUGGAUAAGGAUCCAGUAAAG